GCAGCCACUCAUUCAAAGAGUGCGUAAUAGCUCACUGGUCGAGUGAUCCUGCGCCGAAGAUUUCCGGGGCUAAAACUUACUACCGAAGCUACGGCAUCAGUAAUGAUGGGUAGGGGAGCUUCCCAUACGGGUUGAAGCAUGACCGUAAGGACAUGUGGACAGUAUGGGAGUGAGAAUGUUGGCAUGAGUAGCGAGAUGUGGGUGAGAAUCCCACAGGCCGUAAACCCAAGGUUGCCAGGGGAAGGUUCGUCCGCCCUGGGUUAGUCGGGACCUAAGCUGAGGCCGAAAGGCGUAGGUGAUGGACAACAGGUUGAUAUUCCUGUACUACCGAUAACCGUUUGAGAGAAGGGAUGACACAGUA
rnacentral:rRNA from 1 species